GAUGAAGAACGUAGCGAAAUGCGAUACGUAGUGUGAAUUGCAGAAUCCAGUGAAUCAUCGAAUCUUUGAACGCACAUUGCGCCCGCCAGUAUUCUGGCGGGCAUGCCUGUUCGAGCGUCAUUUCAACCAUCAAGCCCCCGGCUUGUGUUGGGGACCUGCGGCUGCCGCAGGCCCUGAAAAGCAGUGGCGGGCUCGCUGUCACACCGAGCGUAGUAGCAUACAUCUCGCUCUGGGCGUGCUGCGGGUUCCGGCCGUUAAACCACCUUCAUAACCCAAGGUUGACCUCGGAUCAGGUAGGAAGACCCGCUGAACUUAAGCAUAUCAAUAAGCGGAGGA
rnacentral:misc_RNA from 1 species